rnacentral:lncRNA from 1 species
CGCGCGCAGGUCUGUCGAGCACUUCAUCGACAUGCACGGGCCUGACGCGCUCGACAGGAUCAUCUGAGCUGUGAGUUCUUUCUUCUUCAUCGUCCUAGCUACGCGCCUUGUUUUUUUGGUUUCCCUGACGGAGAAGCAUCUGAAACUGGUGUAGGCUGAGCAGGAAGCCAAGAGGACCUAGCAGCUUAGCGUGCGCUGUAACUUAAGGGAUUCAGUCCAUAGGGCUUCAGAAUUCAGAUGGGGGUGAAGGCGAAGCAAUGUGAAUUGUUUGGGGCAAAAACCGAAGCAGCCCGAUGCCUGGCGUGGAUUGUUGUACUGUUAUCGCUCGUGUGAAUUACUUUGUGCAGUGCAUACAUGGUACGCGUGAUGUUUGUUUGAUACUCCAAGGACUUAAACUCAAAGGUGUGGUCUUUGUAUCCAAGGACUUAACUCA